rnacentral:rRNA from 1 species
CCCUUAGAUGUCCUGGGCCGCACGCGCGUUACACUGAUGCACUCAACGAGUAUAUAACCUUGGCCGAGAGGCCUGGGCAAUCUUUGAACAUCGAUCGUGAUCGGGAUAGAUUCUUGUAAUUUUUGAUCUUAAACGAGGAAUUCCUAGUAAACGCAAGUCAUCAGCUUGCAUUGAUUACGUCCCUGCCCUUUGUACACACCGCCCGUCGCACCUACCGAUUGAAUGGUCCGGUGAAAUCUCCGGACUGGCGUGAGUCGGAGCAAUCUGACAAACGCCGGAAAGUUGAUUAAACCUUACCAUUUAGAGGAAGGUGAAGUCGUAACA